CCAAUAAGAGAACCUUAUAUUUAAACCACCGACCGCUUCCAUGAUUCUGAUCCAAAACGCCAGGUGUCUGUAAUAUGAAGAACUGCAGAAAAAACAAUUACUACCAACCUGCCUUCCAUUGAGGACCUGUAUACUGCACGAGUCAAAAAGAGGGCUGUGAAAAAAUUUACAGACCCCUCGCCCUGGACAUAAAUUGUUUCAACUCCUACCCUCAAAACAAUGCCAAAGAGCACUGCACACCUGAACAACUAGACACAAGAACAGUUUUUUCCUGAACGCCAUCACUCUGCUAAACAAAUAAUUCCCUCAACACUGUCAAACUAGUUACUAAGUCUGCACUACUAUUAAUCUUCUCAUCGUUCCUAUCACCCAUCUCCUCCCACUUACGACUGCAUGACUGUAACUUUGUUUGUAUCCUUACUAUUUAUAUUGAUUGUUCCUAGUAUUUGAUUGCUUAUUUGUACCCUAUGACUACCAUUAAGUGUUGUAACUUGUGAUUCUUGAUGAAUGUAUCUUGUCUUUAUGUACACUGAGAGCAUAUGCACCAAAGACAAAUUCCUUGUGUGUCCAAUCACACUUGGCCAAUAAAGAAUUCUAUUCUAUUCUA